CACGUAGGGGGCAAGCGUUGUCCGGAUUUAUUGGGCGUAAAGAGCUCGUAGGCGGUUCGCUAAGUCGGGUGUGAAACCUCCAGGCUCAACCUGGAGACGCCACCUGAUACUGGUGUGACUCGAGUCCGGUAGGGGAGCGUGGAAUUCCUGGUGUAGCGGUGAAAUGCGCAGAUAUCAGGAGGAACACCAGCGGCGAAGGCGGCGCUCUGGGACGGUACUGACGCUGAGACGCGAAAGCGUGGGGAGCGAACAGG
rnacentral:rRNA from 1 species